AAAAGAUGAGGUUUCUUGGAAUUCAAUGAUUGUUGCUUAUGGGCAGCAUAGGGAAGGGAUAAAGGCGUUGGCUUUGUAUAAAGAAAUGGAACUUAGGGACUUAUAUUUAGACAUGUUUACUUUGGCAAGUGUAUUGACAGCACUUACGUCCAUGGAAGACUUGCGUGGUGGGCUUCAAUUUCAUGGUCGGUUAAUCAGAAUGGGUUUUCAUGAAAAUCCACAUGUUGGCAGUGGGCUGAUUGAUUUGUACUCAAAAUGUAGUGCUAGUAUAUCAGAGUGCAAAAAAGUAUUUCAG
rnacentral:misc_RNA from 1 species